CGACUUAGUUACUUGCAUUAGUAUAUUUGAAUUAUGUCCCUUGACUAGAAAAAAGUGGAUUUUGUUAAUGAAUUUUCAAAGAUUGAUAUGGCGGAGUUUAAGUGCAGUCUGUGUAAAAUUGAGACGAGUACAUUUGAGGACGUUAUCUUCCACGCAAUACAUACACUUGCGAACAGAGAAAUAUGCAUCUUGAAACGCAAUGGUGACAGAAAAGCUUAUAAAAGAUUAACUUUUUAAGUUGUACCCUCAACUGCUUCAAUUUCCAUAUUCUGAAAAAUAUAUAGUUUUUGGUAGAAUAAAUGUUCUUGACUCGA